GGCCGGGUGGUCUAGUGGUAGUAAGUUGCUUCGUGCCUAAUUCUGUCCCUUCACGAUCCUAACAUCUCUACCAGUGAUUCUCGCUUAGGGCACACCCUAUGCUACAAUGCGAGAGGCCCCGGGUUCAAAUCCCGGCUCGGCCC